ACAGAGGGUGCGAGCGUUGUCCGGAAUCACCGGGCGUAAAGGGCGCGUAGGCGGCGCGGUAAGCGUGCGGUGAAAGCCCGGGGCUCAACCCCGGGUCGGCCGUGCGGACUGCCGGGCUGGAGCACUGUAGAGGCAGGUGGAAUUCCGGGUGUAGCGGUGGAAUGCGUAGAGAUCCGGAGGAACACCUGUGGCGAAAGCGGCUCUCUGGACCACAACUGACGCUGAGGCGCGAAAGCUAGGGGAGCAAACAGGA
rnacentral:rRNA from 1 species